CCCAGACUCCUACGGGAGGCAGCAGUGGGGGAUAUUGCACAAUGGGGGAAACCCUGAUGCAGCGACGCCGCGUGAGUGAAGAAGUAUUUCGGUAUGUAAAGCUCUAUCAGCAGGGACGAAAAUGACGGUACCUGAGUAAGAAGCCCCGGCUAACUACGUGCCAGCAGCCGCGGUAAUACGUAGGGGGCAAGCGUUAUCCGGAAUUACUGGGUGUAAAGGGAGCGUAGACGGUGAAGUAAGUCUGGAGUGAAAGGCGGGGGCCCAACCCCCGGACUGCUCUGGAAACUAUUUGACUGGAGUGCAGGAGAGGUAAGCGGAAUUCCUAGUGUAGCGGUGAAAUGCGUAGAUAUUAGGAGGAACACCAGUGGCGAAGGCGGCUUACUGGACUGUAACUGACGUUGAGGCUCGAAAGCGUGGGGAGCAAACAGGAUUAGAUACCCCCGUAC
rnacentral:rRNA from 1 species